AAGACUAUAGACCUGCGGAGUACCUGCGGAAGGAUCAUUAGUGAUUCAAGGGGGAAAGAGAUGUGCUGGCAAAAAAUCCUUUGCAACAACUGUGCACUCUCUUACCCUUUUCAAAUUUUGAACUCUGUGCACCCUUUGUAGGCAGGGAGUUCCCUGUCUAUGCUUUUUAUCAUGCAACCCUGCAAAAUGUGUAUGAAUAGAGAUAUAAAUAAAAGUACAACUUUUAACAACGGAUCUCUA
rnacentral:misc_RNA from 1 species